rnacentral:rRNA from 1 species
UACAGAGGUCUCAAGCGUUGUUCGGAUUCAUUGGGCGUAAAGGGUGUGUAGGUGGCGCGCUAAGUCGGGUGUGAAAUUUCGGAGCUUAACUCCGAAACUGCAUUCGAUACUGGCGUGCUUGAGGACUGGAGAGGAGACUGGAAUUCAUGGUGUAGCAGUGAAAUGCGUAGAGAUCAUGAGGAAGACCAGUGGCGAAGGCGGUCUGCUGGGCAGUUUCUGACACUGAUGCGCGACAGCGUGGGGAGCAAACGGG